rnacentral:rRNA from 1 species
UAUUGGUAAUGGGCGAAAGCCUGAACCAGCAACGUCGCGUGUGCGAUGAAGGCCUUCGGGUUGUAAAGCACUUUUGACCGGGACGAGGAAGGACGGUACCGGUGUAAUAAGCCUCGGCUAACUACGUGCCAGCAGCCGCGGUAAAACGUAGGACGCGAGCGUUAUCCGGAUCUACUGGGUGUAAAGCGCAUGCAGGCGGUUCGUUAAGUUGGGUGUGAAAGCUCCUGGCUCAACUAGGAGAGGUCGCUCAAGACUGG